AAAGACGAUCCAGGCGUAUUUUUUUUCACAUACUCAGGUCUUAAACCUUGAAUAAUUGAGGGAUGACCUCAUUUAAUCUCCAGUAGCAAAUUUGAUCUGUUAUGGGAGGAAUCAUGCGUCUGGAUCGUCUUAC
rnacentral:ncRNA from 1 species